GAAACGCGAUAAUUAGUGCGAAUUGCAGAAUUCAGUGAAUCAUCGAGUCUUUGAACGCAAGUUGCGCCCUUGGGUAUUCCUGGGGGCAUGCCUCUUUCAGUGUCGGUUAAAACCCUCAGAUCAUUUGUGAUUUGGAAAGUGAGGUCCGAGCUUGCUUCUUCUAACGAGGCAAGGUCCCUUCAAGUUUGAGGCUGAUGUCUCUGUCUCUACACGGUGACUGUGUAGUUGUCUGAAUGAAGACAGUUUAUACAAAUUGUUCUAGUUCUUGCAUGGCGAAAGCAGUCACUUGAGAUGGCCAGCAAGUCAGUUCCCGCAAAUGCAGCAGCAGCAAUGUUGAUGCAUGACAGCAACUUUCAAGACCUGAGAGAGGUAAGAUUACCCGCCGAACUUAA
rnacentral:misc_RNA from 1 species